CAGUCGCCGCGGUAAUACGUAGGGUGCAAGCGUUAAUCGGAAUUACUGGGCGUAAAGCGUGCGCAGGCGGUUUUGUAAGACAGAGGUGAAAUCCCCGGGCUCAACCUGGGAACUGCCUUUGUGACUGCAAGGCUAGAGUACGGCAGAGGGGGAUGGAAUUCCGCGUGUAGCAGUGAAAUGCGUAGAUAUGCGGAUGAACACCGAUGGCGAAGGCAAUCCCCUGGGCCUGUACUGACGCUCAUGCACGAAAGCGUGGGGAGCAAACAGGAUUAGAUACCCCCGUAGUCCCUGUCUCUUAUAC
rnacentral:rRNA from 1 species